CCAAAAGCUUGGCCACAGACCAGAGGUGAAAAACUUCAAAGGAAGCCAGUCUCUUGGAAUUCAUUCAUUGGCAUGUCCUAACUCAAAGGUUGAGGGAGGCCCAGACGGGCUGGCCUGCAGCAUGCUAGGAUUUGAACCCAGAUCCUCUAUAGGAACAGCCUGCUUUCUUAUCUGCUAAGCCAAUUCUCCAGCCCUAAAUAACAAUUUCCAUUCCAUUCCCCCCUCCAAUGGUUUUCCAUUAAAUUUCUUAAUGU